AGGUAGUUGGUGAGGUAACGGCUCACCAAGCCGACGAUGAGUAGCCGACCUGAGAGGGUGAUCGGCCACAUUGGGACUGAGACACGGCCCAGACUCCUACGGGAGGCAGCAGUGGGGAAUAUUGCGCAAUGGGGGCAACCCUGACGCAGCAACGCCGCGUGAGCGAUGAAGGUUUUCGGAUCGUAAAGCUCUGUUCUGAGGGAAGAUAAUGACGGUACCUCAGGAGAAAGCCCCGGCUAACUAC
rnacentral:rRNA from 1 species